rnacentral:rRNA from 1 species
GACGAACGCUGGCGGCGUGCUUAACACAUGCAAGUCGAACGGAAAGGCCCUGCUUUUGUGGGGUGCUCGAGUGGCGAACGGGUGAGUAACACGUGAGUAACCUGCCCUUGACUUUGGGAUAACUUCAGGAAACUGGGGCUAAUACCGGAUAGGAGCUCCUGCUGCAUGGUGGGGGUUGGAAAGUUUCGGCGGUUGGGGAUGGAGUCGGGGCUUAUCAGCUUGUUGGUGGGGUAGUGGCUUACCCAGGCUUUGACGGGUAGACGGCCUGAGAGGGUGGCCGGCCACAUUGGGACUAAGAUACGGCCCAGACUCCUACGGGGGGCAGCAGUGGAGAGUAUUGCACAAUGGGCGGAAGCCUGAUGCAGCAACGCCGCGUGCGGGAUGACGGCCUUCGGGUUGUAAACCGCUUUCGCCUGUGACGAAGCGUGAGUGACGGUAAUGGGUAAAGAAGCACCGGCUAACUACGUG